UAAAGCACUUUUAAGUUAACGGAUAUUCCUUAAAGUACUUUAGCGAGUCAAAUUGGCAACAACGACUUUCGAGAAGCGAAGUAAACAUGGCGAAAAGAAUGAAUUGGAUGAUGGAAAAAACAAAUAUUAUAAUCAAAAUUCUAAUAGAUAUUUGGGAAAAGCAUUAUCAACAUUUAAAAUCGAUGAAAAGAAAUAAAAGCAUUUUUGGUAAAAUGGCAGAAUUUUGUUUCUUUUAUUCUUUUAAUAUUUAUAAAGAUGUAUUUAAGAAUCUCUCUUGCAAUUUCAGCUGUUCUUGACUAG
rnacentral:lncRNA from 1 species